CCAUUCCGUCUCAUUCUCUCAUAAUUACGCUUAAAUACUGUCGGGAUAGUUAUGUCCUUGCCGUGGAAAAUUGGAUUUCAAAGGAUGCUGAUUGCGUUCUGUCCCUAGAAACUGCUACAAACUUGGACAAUUCACAUUCUGCCGGACACGUGCAAAAAUAUAAUUAUCCCCUGUCGCUCAUGUGUCAUCGCGUGGGCGCAUAAUUUUCUAUAACAUAAAUAUUGUAUUAUUUUAAUCAGGAUAACCAUACGGCUAUGAUUAAGCCGGCUGAGAUAAUUAAACCAAUAUCGCUGACUGAUAUCGAUCUUCCUUCAAUUUGAUUAGGACGAUGCCACGGGAAAUUAAAGACUCGUUCAAAUUAUUCGACAUCUGAAUUCUAGUACUUUCACUUCAAAUUACUUGAGAAAUUUGUCUUUAGAUUACUCGAAAGUUGACUUCAUAUUUUCUUCUCAUUUUGCAUUUUCAAGUAUAUCUCCAUAGCUUAAAAAGCUUUUGAGGUGGAUAAUAUAUCGUGAUAGAUACUGCUGCUUUCUCUCAGUUAGGGGAUCGUGGAGAAAAAACCGGACUAUGAGUACCGGGAUUCGAACCUGGGUCUGGAACGUUCGUAACCAAUUACGCUAACCACAGCGCUGCCGUCGUCCGGCAGCUAUAGAGUCUUUGUGUAGCAAGCCACGGGACAGAAACCGUUGGAAAGUUUUGCUGUCGAGUGCAACAGAUGUCUUUUGUUUUCAUGUGUUCUAUGUUUUUGCCAUUUUGCUUUCGUUUUCUUUUUUUCUUUGAUUUUGUCAAGGAUGGCUGUUGGAAUUAUAUUGAAUGAAUCGACAUUACAUUUACAUCGUCUGAGGUACUAGGAUUCUAGCAGAAUACUGCGAUAUCUACGGAGUAAAACAAAAUCUCUUUAACCAUAUUGACAAAAAUAAGAAAUUCCACGAACAUUCUCAGUCUAUCCGUUAUCGUUUCAUUCCUAGUUCUUAUCAUUCGGCAAUUGCAAGUUAUCUACGCUGUCUGUAUUUCCUCUUGGAUACUACAAAAAUAUGAUUGUGUGCGCGAAGCGUUCGUUUCGUAAUCAGCAAAAAUAAUGAAAAUUUCAACAAUUAGCGAGGACACGAUACGAUUGCAUAAUAGAUACCGACGCGCCAGCAGCCGGGAAGUCUAGUUGCUUUGUGUAAUAACCGGUAAAUAAUUAGCCGGUGCGGCGUCCUGACGUCUUCCGUGACCAAUGCGCUGAGAUAGCUGUCUCGUCUUAUGGCCAACCGCUGUUCAUGUACGGUCCGCGCUCGUGGUUACCAAUACAAAGCAACAAUUAAAAGCAAUGAUUAACUCUUUGAUUGCAACUUAUUAUUUUUAUUAUUCAAGUAUUUUUAUUAUUCAAAGCAUAUAAUGGCAAAAUAAUAAUAAAUUGAUGAUGUAAGACAACAUUCUUCUCUAAUGGACCGUUUAUCUUAUUGGUGGUCACUGGUGACACCGUGGCGCCUUGGUAACAGUUGAUAGCGACAUAUUAUAACAACGCUUCGUUUAUUUCAACGAACCAUUCGCAUUCGUUAUUUCGUCGUAGGCAAAACGUGCAGAAUAUAUUGUUGAAACGUGUAGAAGAUAUUAGUGAACAAUAUUAUGAUUAUUUUUAUGAUUUCGACGAAACAUUCGGCUGAAAUGGUAGAGGUCCGGAAAAAAAUUAUGUUUGUGAUAAAGCAAUGGUAGUGGUAGAUUACAAGAGAGGAAAAUGUGCUGUAGAUUUAUCAGAUCAAAUGAUAGUAUAUUCUACACCACAUAGAAGAACCCUCAAGUGGUAUAUAAAAUUAACUUCAGAGUUAUUGUUAAAUGCACCGAUUUCAAACGCCAUGAUACUCUAUAAACAAGCAAGAAAAACAAAAAUUAAGGUAUCAGAUUUUAGAAUGGCACUCGCGAUGCACCUUACACAGUGCCAUUCACCAGAGCCGUGAAAUAUACUUAUUCGACAAAGAUUGCGACACGAAAUGCAGAAGAAAGAAGGGCAAGCGUACCUGGCACGAAAAUUUUGCAAAGAGUGGUAUAAAAAAAAUGUUAAACAGUUAGGAUCAAAAAUUAGUAAGAAUCGGACCAAAAAGGUGGCCACCUAUUGUCCAGAUUGUAUCGAUGAGCCACAUUUAUGUUUAAAGUGUUUCAACACAGUGCACCGUUAGAUGCAACAUUUGUUCUCUUUUUUUUUAUUGAUGUUCUAAUAAAAAUGCUUAAUUGUUCAAUGGGGCACCUUUUAUUUCAAAGUAUCUUCUAUUCAUUGGUUAUAUUCAAAAUCCCCUAACUGUCAAUUUCGUUCAAUUUUUACCGAUAGCCGAUUAAUCGGUUUUUUGUCGCUGACGCUUACCGACCGAUAGCCUAUUGAAAUAGUCAAACUCGAAGAUGGUAUCCCACUAGGGGUAGCCAACUACAUGUUACUUAGCAACUAAGUUAGAAAAAUUUGCUAAAUGUCCAGCUGGACAAAUUAUAAAGUACAAAUUAAAUAAUAAUAAUAAAAAAAAUCAUCUACGCGUAUCCAUCGACUUACACACACGACCUUAUUUUAGCCAGUUUUACUAUUACACAUUUGUAUUAUUCAUUUAUCCAGCAUUUACUAUCGGCGGUUUAGAAAUGAAUAAAUAAAUAAAAAAAGUAAAUACAAAUGUUGGUUAGCGAUGAUAAAAUUCGAAUAGUAGAAGCGUAGAGUAGAAAAAUAUUCCGUUACGUAAAUUAUUGUACAAUGCAAAUUUACUCUAUGCUGUCCUAUAGUUGUAUAGCCAGAACAGCCACAAUAUCGCAUGGUUGCACGUCGUCUUUCGUAUCCAGGGUCCUCGGUUCGCCGUUUAAUUUAACCAAAAAUAAUUUCUCCCGUUCACCUGCCACCCAUCGCGCAUCUGACUACCUAAGUUCUUAAUUAGUGCACGGAUAGACGUGUUGGCCGUAGAUCGGGCCGGUGCUACCUCGGUUACGAGUAAUUACUGUCGGAAUAUUUGGAGCGGCGCGGAGGUGGCUCCACCGUAGAAUUUACUAGGAUAGCCGAAAUUGUCGGCGUAUUUCAUGAGAUCGUAAUAUAAUCGGUUGCUCGCAGCCUGCAUGAAAUUUGAAUCUCGGCCCGACCUAUUAUUACGUCGCUUUUACCUUUUAACACUUUUAAAAGUAGCUCAAUUCUACAUAUUUGAAUAUUCACUAUAGAAUAUUUUUAUGUGUAUUAUAUCAUCGUACGUAUUAUAUAAAACAUUUUGAAAUUUCAUUAGCACUGUAAUGAAACACGACUGUCAUGAUUAUUUUGAUAAAAUAACAAACCGAUUUGAAAAUGUAUGUACAUAGAAAUUACAAGAUAUUUAUUGCAAAUUAUAUAUAUGUUACAUUUAGUAGAAAAUUCCCAUUGAAUAUUCUAAACAAUUUUUAUAAUUGUAAUUUAGUAAAAUAGUUUCAUUAAAAAUUACAGUUUAUCAAUAUGACAUAUAUAAUUAACUGUUUAAAUAUCUUGCAGUUCCUAUUCGGUUGGUAACUAAGUGAUUGCAGAUUUAGUCAUUAGGUGGUAUUGAGGGAAUCCGCAAUCACUUAGUUACCAACCCAAUAGUACACGUUUAUUCCAAACAAAAGCCUCUGUCCACGCACUAUGCACGAAGAUAUUAGACCCUAUUAGACGUGACGAUACUAAUACCCUGGUGUUCAGUCUACGAAGCAUAUAGUACGAUACAACAUGUUGUCUGAUUAUUAAAAUGUCGAGCGACGAAGAAAGACGUCUUCAUCCUACGAUCACUACGCUCUAUAUUUAUAGAAUGCCUGGCUACUGUCAAUGUUAACGCCAGUCGUGACGACGAAAACGGUUGUUUCAUGGACAGGUGCGCAUUACUUUAGAAUGACCGCUGCAUGAUAGCGUACUGUUACCAUCAACGUGUCUAAUACGCUUCUAUGGAACGACGCUUCGUGGUCAGUGGAUCAAUAUAAUUAUGAUAAUCGAGUCUCGAUGCAAAGUUAAUGAAAUUGCAAAUUAUAAUACACACAAUAUAUUUAUAAUAGUCAAAUUGGAAGAUGGUAUCACGCUGAGGUAGCCAUCCACAUGUUAUUUAGCAAUUAAAUUAGAAAAAUUUACCGAAUGUCCAGCUGGAUAAAUUGUAGAGUACAAAUUAAAUAAUAAAAAAAUAUAUAUAUUUGUGGCGGCACUCGACGACGGAACUUUCCGACGGCUUCGCGACACAAAGCGCUAUACCAUCAAAGCGCAAGGCUGACAUGCCUAAUGUACCAUCAAUAUCCCUACGGUUCUUUCGCUGAAUUUUCGGAAGAAUGCGUACGUGACAACCGUCGCGGACGUCUAACGAACGCGUGCGUAGUGGGGAUAUCGAGGGGCAACAAAGAAAAGAAUCCGUUUGGUUUCGAACAGAAGAUUCAUUCGGUUUCGAACAGCGAAGUGCGAAGGGUCUAGCGUAACAACGAAGCAAACAUAUUCGAGAAGCGUGAUUGUUGAUUGUUAAUUGUUAAAUAAACUUUAUUGUUGAACAUCGAGAGUAUUUCUUGGGCACUUACACCUUAAAUCACCUCAUAUUUAUGAAAGGUAUAUAUGUACGAGUGUGUGAAUACUUUCACGAGUUGCCAAUGAAAAGAGGAUUUUUCUUCGCUGCAUUUACGAAGGAGUGAUCGUGUAAUUGGGUCAUUUCUUCUGUUAAAUUCAGUCAUAAUUUCCCGGAUUGCCGCUAAUUAUUAUCGACGUUGGUGCUUGGCCCCUUAGGCUCUUUGUUAUUAAUUAUCUGGUAACGACGUUCUUUCAUGCGAUGCUCCUCGUUGUUAACCGGUUACUUCCGUUCCACUGCAUUUUCAUUCGUGCGGUAAGAAAAUAAUUAUUACGCUUAAGAAUACUUCGCGGCCUUUAGUUGCAUGUUCUUUUCAAGCAACGAAAUUUUUUUUUUAUUAUUUAAUUUGUACUUUACAAUUUGUCCAGCUAGACAUUUUUCUAGUUUAAUUUCUAAAUAACAUUGGUAACCAAAAUAAUGAAGAUUUGACUUUCGUUUUGUUAUAUUAAGAAGCUUUGUAUUUUGUACGCGAAUUUGUGAUUGUGAUAUUUUAUAAACGUUUAUAAACGAACAGAAUAGAGGAACGAUUGAUAAAUGUAACAAAAAUAUUCUUCUCUUGUUAUUUCUUAAAAAUUAUUUCAUUCGAGAAACAGCGACUCAUUUCAACUAAUUAACAUUUCGCAUGAUCUACUUUUUUCUUCGUAAAUUCUGUCCAAAAAUUGUUUAAUAACCAUGUUUUCUACUAACAUAUUCAGAGUUUGUGUACCACUCGACGAAGCAACUGUUACGGUUGGAAUACACACAUGCAAGUAUGAAAUAAAUACAUAGUGAAUUACAGAGGUAUUUAUCUUCUAGUAAUUAUUGACUUCCACGAUUUAUUUAAAUUUCCAUUUGUAUAUAAUCAAUCGAUAUUUUCCAAUGAACAGCUUGAGGUGGUUUAUUAUACGUGUUGGUUUAUUAAACAGACGAGCGAUAAAAUUGUAAUAUAAAAGUGUAUAUUAAAAUCACUUUAAAAUACCAUUACAAAGAUAAUGCCGGUCGUAUCGUCGCUCGCUAUUCGACUGCGUGACUCGCUAUACUGAACGUCCUAGAGGGCACGUUCGUCUAUUUGUAUCGACUGGUGGUGUUACAAGAAGAUCAAAUGUAACUCCGGUUGACGACUACAAAUAAUAUUUUGCCCGCAGUUCGUUUACCUUUUUAAACCUAGCGAACCAAAACAACGCUGUUAUUCCAAGGCACAACAAUAUGAGUCUCUGUCGAUUCAGAUCUUCGAUUGACUCAUGUGCCGCUACAAGUUUAAUUAUUACACCUGUAUAUUCCUAUCGACAAUUGUAGAGUGUAUGCUGUUAAAGUAUAUUAAUUAUGUAAAUUUAACGACUGCGAGAGAUUUUGUGAUUCACUGUAUAGUAUAUGUAUGUGAAUAUUUAUUCUCAUUACGUGGAAACAUAUUCUACAAUUGUGUUCCAGUGUCAUUGUGAAACCAAUAAUAUACAGUGGCACACGAAAGUAUUCGAACGCUUACAUAUGCAAACUUGAAUGACCGAAAUAAUGUACAUUAAAGUAAUUUGCUUAGACAAGCAGAUGUCAGUAGGAAGAUGGAAGUUUUGAGGUUAUGUCAGUAAAAUUUGAAAAGGAUUCAACAACGUAGGUGGGAGCACUGAUACAUUUAUUAGAAACACGCAUUCCCAUAAAUUUUCAAUCGGAUUUAUGUCUGGACUUUGCGGUGGAAUAAUUAGCAUGCGUGGUGUGUUAUAUACGAUUCAUUCUUUCGCAAUUCUAGCAGUAUGCUUAGGAUCAUUAUCUUGUUGGAAGUGGAAAUCUUCCAAUAAUCCUAAUUUACAGGCAUUUUCUUUAAGGUUAGUUUUUAAAAUAUUUAAUUACUUAUAUUUAUCAAGUAUUCCAUCAAUAAAUAUCAAAUUUCCGGUGCCACUGGAGGCCAUGCACCCCUACACCAUAACCGAUCUACCUUCGUGUUUCACUGUUUGAUGUAACAGUCGAAUUUCCAAUUCUGUAUUUGGUUUUCUCCACACAUAGUUUUGACCAUCCGGGCCAAAAAUGUUAAACUUUGACUCGUUCGAAAAGAUGACUUUGUCCCAAAAAGAAUUAUCUUUAUUAAUAUAGGUUUUUGCAAAAGUCAAUUUUUUUUAUGAUUUACCGCAUUAAUAUAUAGCUUGUUUCGCGGUAAUGAAAAUCAUUGUUUCGUAAGAUUCGUCGACAUAAUUCCGGGUGAACUUCUUCAUGAAACAUAUCAGCUACCAUACUUGCGAGUCGAGGAGCGGAUGAAGUAGGAUUCUUUUUAAUUCGCGAAUGAUAACUUUCUCCUCUGUUCCAGACAAUUUCUUUGGUCGACCUGAUCGAGCUUUGUUUGCAGGUGUUCCUUCAUUCUUUCACUUUUUAUGAUAUAAUAUAUUGUGGACUUACUUCUGUUCACAAUUCCGGCAAUCUCGUUAUAUGAUUUGCCGUCCUCAUGUAAUUGGAAUAUUAUUUCUCUUUCACGCCUUUCUGUUUCACACUUUUUGGUAUUUUACUUUUAUGUUUUACUUUUACGUUACCGUCUGUUACUCCCCGAGGCUUACUAUAAGCCGUGUUCCUAACCGUCUCCCUUGGUACUACAGUGUCGCAGACAGAUCGUCUUACAUGACCGGCGAGGUAUACACAAUAUAGCGAUAAGCGCAUAGUUGUCGUCCAGCAGCGAGUUCGAAAAAACAUCGUUCGCCUUCGGUCUGUUAUUUUACCUACACAGAAAAAGGUGGCAUACGUGAUCAUAGGCGCGAACGGUUGCGGGACCCGAGCGUGGUGGGAGUCGUCUCCAAGAGGAGACAAAGGAAAAAAUCGAAGGGCAAUCAGUAUUAUACGAGGAUUCAAACCGAAUGCAUCGAAAGGUUCAGAGAAAUAAAAUCAAGUUCGCUUAGUCAAACUAAUAUGUCGAGAAAUAUUAUAAAGUCGAGUCAAAUUGUAAUAAUAAACUAAUUGUAUCAUCGUUAAAUCAUUUGUAACGUGUUAAUUAUAAUCUUAAAUAUUGUUGAAAAUAGAAGCUUAUAUUAACCCUAUUAAUUCUGUGUUACAAUCAUUUGAACUACCUCUCUUAUCCUAAUCGAAACAGGGGAACGACUGGUUCGCGGCGUCGACUAUCGAAAUCGUAGCGAGAAUUGACGCCCCUCGCGAUCGCGUCUCUCCGCGAACGGUAGUAACACUGUUACUGAAACGACAUCUUAACAUCAAGUGAACGUACCAAUAUUUUUAUUUAGCAAUGAUGUUUACAUUCGGUGCAAACGAAGAUGAAAAACUAUCAGCAGUGUUACAGCGUUCGAAUACUUUUGUGUGAAGAUACCAAAUUGUUUUAACAAAUUAGUUUAUUACACCUCAAUUUACUAAUUGAAAUUUGUAAGUGUAAACGUUCGAAUACUUUCCUCAGCCGCUGUACAUAUCAUUCGAAUAAUCACGAGUGCUAUUAACAUUAUAAAAUACAGAAAAGUAACGAGUCUUAAGCGACGAAGAAAAGAAGGAAAAUUACGAAGAAACUUCUCCAGCCUCGUAUAAUGAUCACAUGUGAUAUACUUUGUCCGAAUACAUGCUGCGUGCUCACAUAUGAGACUCGAGAUUUAAAGAACUUUAAAGAGCAUACAGCGAGAAAUUGAAAAAGCAUCCGCGAUGCAUGCAGAUAGACGAGACGACAGUUGUCAACGUUUUACGCGAUCAAAAGGGAAAGUUGAAUGGGCGGAUGGGCAAAGGGAAAAGUCGACGGUUGGCGCACAGAAGACGCGGCUAGUCUACGAAUCGAAAUUGAAACCGUUGUGUUGGAGACCGUAAACUGGGAAUAGCUGGCUGUAGCAUGUCGUGAAAUCUUAUCGCGAACAACGCUUUGCAUUUGCAAAGUGAUAAAUCGUGAGUUGUAACCGGAAUCAUUGAAGCGUAGGAUUAUACACGUGCACUUUCAAAUUUGUAUAAAUCUCGCUGAGUAACAGUUCGUAAUGUGAUAUGUUAUUUAAAAUAUGUGAUAAACAACCAAAUACUUUUGCGUAACUACAAACGAUGAUUAGGUUAUGUUAGUUUUGCAUAAAACGAUCACAAAUCAUCAUCGACAUAUUUCCAUGUUCCUAUUAGAACGUGCGUUAAAAGCCAGUACACCAAUUUCUACUGUGUGGCGAAUUACAAGCAGCAGGCGUGGUAAUACGUGAUUAAUGUACGCGUUAAACGCGAGUCAGAUUUCCAAUAUCGACAGAAGAGGCGAUAUUUUGCAAAAUCUCCAGACCCAACAAAAUGAUUUUCCACAGAGUGCGGUUACGAUGUCUGCACACAAAUACUGGACUACGCAAAAGCAACGUGUAGCAAAGCAGAGUUUACAUUUCGACAAAAAUAUUUGAUAAAAAGAUAUAGUACAAUGUAAUGUAUCUUGAAACCAUAUUUCUAUUUUUCUGAUGUGCUUUUGUAGCAAUGUGACUGCUGUUUCUGCAUUGGUGUGCCUGACUAGUACAGCUGUGUCGUCCGCGAAUGUCAGUAUUUUGCUGUUGGUAGCCCUGCCUUAAUGUCUUUUACUUCAGAAUAUACAUCCUUUAUUUUUACUGCAAAGGUUCUGUUGUUUAGGUAUGAUUUGAACAAGUGGUGGAUUUGUUCCGGGAAGUAUUUUUUGAUUGUUCGUAAGUGGCUUUCAUGGUUUAGCAUGCAAUAAAUUAAUACAGUGCACUUUGUAAUCAACUGUCUGGUUUGCAACUGUUUUCCUCCGUCAACCGGCUGAUAAACCGCGUGUUUUUGCACGCGUACGUUCGCAAUAUUUUACAUACAAACGAAAAAUGCGCUAGCGAUAGUUUAUUUAUAAAUGGUGGCGAUCAAUUUCGUUUUCCGAUAUAGCAAUUUUUCUAUGGUCGGACAAUGAAUGUAUUCGGAAACUUACUGUUGCCAAGUGAAAUUUUAUAUUUUGUCUUAUCGUCGUUUGAACGAAAAUCCCAUAUUGACGAUGUUACGCAAAACCUACAAUUUUCGAAGCAACUGCAGUUAUUUGUAAUUAGACUACGAAGGUUUGUUAAGUCUCGCCGUUUAUGGGAAAUUUAAAAGCGCAAACGUGCACAGGUCGCAUGUAAUGAAUUCGCGCAGAAAUGUGUAAAAUAUUCCAAGUAUGGUCCUCGUGAUAAUAUUUAACGCGUGAAAUAAAUCUCUACUUCGUUUGCAUUUUUAAUUGUCCUCGGAAAAAUAUUUUUUCUUUGCAUAAACAUCCACGGCCUAUCCAUAAUAUCCUACGACAAUGAAACAACUGAAAAUGAACGUAGAAAUAAAUAAACUUUUAUAGCAACAGCAGUUUAUUAAAAAUCAUUGGAACAUCUUCAUCUCAACGACCAUCGACAUAAUCAUUUUCAAGCAAAAAGCAAAUGUUCUAUUUACAAUGGAGCACGUGCUACUUGCUGGCUGAUCCGUGUCGUUCAAUUAACCAGUAAACGAAUGAUAAAAGGCUUAUCUAGGAUUAUGAAUUAAAUCAGAUUAACCUCCGCCUCCGCGGGGGAUAUUGCGAUCAAUCCGCAGUUAGAUCAAAUCGGCUAGACAUCCAUUACCGCCGUGGCGUGGCGCGGCGUGGCGCGGCGAGGCGUGGUGCGGCGUGGCGCGGCGCGGCGUGGCGCAACCCAUCGUCAGGAAAGGACUGAGACAAAUCGAGCAAAAACGGGUGGAAGGGGAAGAGCCAGUCCGGUUCAGUAGCUUUAAGCAAAUAGGAAGUUCGAAGAGCGGAGAAUCUAGUCGGAUAAAAAUAUACCGGGAUUCCGACGAUAUUAAAAUUAUUUGUCCUCCAAGUGUAGUCUUUCGCAGCUCCUGGCAAAUGAGGCACAUUGAUCUGCUUCUUUUUGAUACCGUUUUUACUACAGAAUUAAUAAACUAAACUUUCGUGAAGACUUUUGUGACUCGUUUAAAAGAAUUCUUCGAUGGAUUGACGUAUUGGUUGAAAAUUUCGAAUAGCUUCUCGAUUAUGGUUAUUUUGUUAUUAAUUAAGUUUGUUAUUAAUUUGAAAUUAAAUUGUGGAUGAAGAAAGUGUAGGAUAUAUCUGGAAUAGCGAAGUAUGCAAAAGCUACUAUCGUUGUCUAACUUGUGACAUCGCCAAUAAUAAUAGUGUAGUAUCGUGGACAAAUGGCCUAAGAAAUAUCGGGUGAACCAUGAAGUAGUCGUGAGUUGACAGUCGAAUGGAGUAAUCGUGAGUUGAGAGUCGAGUUGUGAGGAUUCAAGUUAUGAGUUGACAGUCGAGUGGUGGGGAGUCGAGUUGUGAGGGGUGGGGAAUUGAGUUGCCGAGUUGUUAUGAGUUGUAAACUAUUACAAUAGUUGUGAGAUUUGAAUUAACUAUUUAGUUAUCUUAGUUAUAUCACAUUACUGUAUUUAUUCACGUUAAAUAACCAUCGUUUCCUGUUUAAUCUAUUGUAAAUAAAUCUAUCGAUCAAUAAAAUUAUCAUAUAGGAUAGAUAUCAUUGGAAACCCUAAUCUCUAAUAUUUAUAAAUAAAUAAAAUAAAUCCUAUACUAUGUAUACGUGUCUUUGCACAUACUCGAUUGAAACAUCGGUAAAACGAACCAACGAUAAGCCACAAAAUAUUAUCUCUUUGUUAUUGAAACUUUUAUAAAACCUAAAUACCUACAAUGUAGAAAGUUGCGUUUAACAUUGUUACAUUCUCUAGGCUUAUGAUCAAAGAGUUUCUAUAAUUUAAAAAAAUAUUACAAUUAGAAUCUCGGUAGAUAAUCGUUUUAUAUAUCCGCCAAGUAUUAUAGGAACCAUUACACUCUGAAUAUUUUGAUAUAUUUUUUCAUAUUAUGUGCAGCUUGCGUAAUGUUGAACUUUCGAAAUUCUGUGAAAUUUGUGAAUUCUCAUAAAAAAUUUACAACGAUUUUGUAGCACGACAACGUCGCUCAAAAGUAAAACACGUUAAAACUCGAAAGUCAAUAUUUUUCACGCGUGUCUCAGAUUCUCCUGUCGUGAAGAAAUUUCUUCGCUGUUUGUACUUUUUACGCGCGUACGCUAACAAACAACUGGGAAAUAAACAAAAUUGCAACUUCACAUUGUAAUGUAUACGACAAGUUGGACAAUUACCAACAUCAGGUAAUUCGCGUUACUUUUAUUCAAAGGCAGCCAGGUCUCAGCUGAAAUUUUUUUUUUAAGAGAUUCUUUUAACCCGUUUACAUGACACGUUAGUUUUUCAACAACCGUGUGAAAACGGUUUUUCCGUAAUUAAUCAAAAAAUCAUUUUUCCAACUGCUUACUAUUGGGUUGGCAACUAUGUGAUUGCGGGUUUUGUCAUUAGGUGGUAUUGCCAACGUAUAGGUAGUUGCCAACCCAACAUUACACGUUAAAAUCUCAAUCUCGAAGAUGAAUAUCUGCAUCUCGGCAAGGCUAGGUUUUCUGAAACUUCAACCGCAUAUAGAUAACAUACCAAAUGACGUAUCGUUUGAGUUCCAAAGAAAUGAUAAGAAAAUCAAUGCAUCAAGAAUUUUAGCACAUUGGCAAAAACACGACGAUGCACAACACGCGUGAUGUUUCGUGUCACAUGUGAACGCGAGAAGAAGGAUAGCAGGCGACAAAUGGCCGCACGAUGGAUGUGCGAGAGGGCGCGAUUAAUCGAUGCGAUGCGAUGUUAAGUGCGUUAUAAUGACGAUCGCCAGCAGGGAAAUUCGAAUCUCGCAAAAUAGCCUGUCGAAAAGCCGGGGAUUCUCUUGGCGUAUUAUAUCGAGGCCUUGGCCAAUAAUUCAAUGACGAUUGAUCCGUGCGCGCCAUCGAUGCCGACAGAAAACUUAAUGACGUUCGUAAUCUGCCAGUCAAUCUUUUUCAUCUUGGACAAAUCGACGAUUGAUAAACGAAAAUUCAAGAAUCCAUCGACUUAAUUGUCCCAAGGAUUUACGUUAUUACAAAUCGAUUUUCUCUACGCCAUGCCGUCUACGUUAUCCUCCGUACCUCCAUGAACGAAAACACAAAACAUGAAAGAAUAGAAUGUGUAGAAUUUAUAAUAAAAUCAGAAGAUGAAGUGGAUUACAUUUUCCCACUGGAAUUGUCAACACAAGGAAGUCAUUUUACUAAAUAGGUUAGAUCACGAGAGAAGAACGGUAAUUUAGGACUUAGGAAAUCGAUUCUCGAUUCGACGGAAUCCAUCGACUUAAUUGUCCCAAGGAUUUACGUUAUUACAAAUCGAUUUUCUCUACGCCAUGCCGUUGAACGUUAUCCUCGAUACCUCCAUGAACAAAAACACAAAAGAUGAAAGAAUAGAAUGUGUAGAAUUUAUAAUAAAAUCAGAAGGUGAAGUGAAUUACAUUUUCCCACUGGAAUUGUCAACACAAGGAAGUCAUUUUACUAAAUAGGUUAGAUCACGAGAGAAGAACGGUAAUUUAGGACUUAGGAAAUCGAUUCUCGAUUCGACGGAAUCCAUACACAUAUAAUGAAGCAGUAGAAGAAACAGUAACUGACAACUACUCCAAGAAUAUCCUGAAAUAAUUGAUUUUACCAGAGAGCAGAUUUAAUAUGUAUGCAGCUCUUCAGAACUCGCGUUAUCCAAGUAGACCAAUACGACCAUCCCGCUGAAUCACCCAGAUACACCUGCUGGGAUAACAUUGCCGUCACUAUCGUGUCUCUUUCACGCAGCACGCGCGAAAGCUCGCGUGCACCUUCUUCAUUCUGUCCGUUUGACUCCGAAGCUUCUCCAUCCUUUACCUUUGCCUUCGCUGUUAGUCGCGCGCGUCUCUUGCCAUUCUUCGCGUAUCGUAUUUACGUUAUAUAAGCUUGGCUUGUGCUGACAAUGCACGGAGAACCGUAGUGUCUGUUCGUUAUCUCGCGCGUUGAAAAAGCCAGAUGCACCGGCGACAAUGCUUAAGAUCCGACAAAGAAUUUCGCCCUGGCUUCUAACUUUUGUGACUGGUCGUCCUCCUUUUUCUCCUGUUUCAUCCUCUGUCUUUCUUUCUCUGUAUUCUCUGUCUGUCUGUCUGUCUGUCUCUCUAGGUUCUUCAAUCUGUUUGUGCCUGCUCUCAUCUUUUUCUUCCCUCGUUUCUUUCUCUUCUCUCAAGCCUCUUCCUGUGCCUGCGCUCUCUGUCCAUUUCUUUCUUUCAUUUCUUGGUUUCUUCUUGCUUUCUCCUCGUUGUUUGAUGCAAGAAACGUGACACGGGCCGCUGCAGCACGAGUCAAAGCGUCUCACGCGUAAUUUAACUUCAGCUUCGGUAAACGCAACUCGACGACACACAGUCGUGUUUCUACCCCUUUGUGCCAUGGUCACGAGCCUGCUUCGGCCGUCCACACGACUUUCACUCGACCACCGCGGACACGUAGACAGCCCUUAUCCUUUGGCGGGACACCGAAAGCCUGGCAUUCCUAGGACUUUGCCCGGGAUAUGUAUUUGCGACUCUGAUGGCUACAGAGUCACGUGUCUCGAAUAAAAUACAGCUCCGUCCAGACGAUAUCCAAGCAGCCGCAUAUGAGCUCCACGUUCCGCGUUAUAUCGCGCUACGAUGUUUUAUUUAUCAAAUUUGAACGGGCCUUUCUCAUAUUCCCAGCACUGGCGAGACGUUGAACCACUCUUGAGCCCGGUAUAUCGGUAAUGUUAACGCUAAAGCAACACACAGUGGAUAGAACACACGUGGCACACCGUUCAUUGUAGCAUUUAUAUUUUAGUUAAUCGAGCCUGAUUAUGUUAAAUUACGUGCCAUUUAAGGCACUGAUUUAAAAAACGCUUCAUUGAAAGAUAAGAGGUUGUGCGUGUAAUUUCUAGAGCCACUGUGAGAUUGAAGGUACUUCGUGAUUAAUUCUUGUUUUUUUUUCUAAUUACGCACUUCUUACGUAUAGCUCGUCGUUUAUUUUA